UUUACAUUAUAUAUGUAUGUCUACCUUAGGUGUUAACAUUUAUUUUUAAUCAUACAUGUAUAUUCAUCACUAAGAAUAUUGUUUUCCUGGGAUAUAUUAUCACAAUUGAAAUUAUAGUUCCUGUUUAUAUUUGUUUGUUUAGUUCCAUUAUUGUCAAAAAUACAUAUCCUAUUUGUAAUUAUCAAACUACAGAGUCUUCAACUGAAUAGUCUUACCAGCUGUACAGUUAUCGAUUAUAAAAAAUAUUAACUUUAUAUCGUGACUGGAAAAUUAGCAAAAUUCUAACUGAGAAAUUUUUCUUUUAUAGUAUCCUCCUUGUUACAAGGACAUCAGUUUCUGGAUCAAUGAAUCAUUUACUGAAAACAAUCUCUGUGAACUUGUUAGAGGAAUUGCUGGGGAUCUUGUAGAAAAGGUAAUUCUUUGAACCUUUUCUCUAGCAUUUAAAUGUAUGUGGAUUAUCAAUGUUGCUGUUUCCUGAAUGUUCAAUUGAUUGAAAAUGUAUCUGAGAUGACCUGAUCUGGAAUUGAAAAUUGGAUGUAAUAAUAUAUUUGGCUUCAGAAGUCAUCAUAGCACCAAACCUUAAUCAUAAACCUACUAAAUCAUUAGGCAGAAGCUGAAUUAAUACGAUAGAAGUAUUAUUUUUAGCUGAAAUUAAUAUAAUCCACUUUAAGGAAACAAGUUGCUAAAUUAACCAAAAGAUUGGAAUGGGCCUUUGCUCCUCUAUUUUGCUUGGCAAAGGCCAUAAAAAUCUGCAUGAGUUAUAACUUGAUACAAGGAUCUGCAAAAUAGAUUCCCAUGGUUUCCAAUGAAGCAACUUUACAUUUCCAUGAAAAUUUAUGGAACGUUCUCUUACUGAUAUAAGGAUCUGCAGGUAUUAAAUUUACUUAAUUCCUUUUUUUACAGCCAAUCUUGGUCUUAUAAUGUCAUAAUUUGUUUGGACUUUGGAAAUUAAUUACCAGCAGAAUAUCAUGCUUAUUUUCGCGACUUUGAGGGCGUGUAUGUGCCCCAAUACUAUAUCUAAUUGAAUAAGUGGUGCUGCGAUGUGAAGUAAGUAAAUUCUUGUUAUAUAUAUUUUUAAAGUGUCAGAUAUGCUAUCCUGUCUCUGCUGCUGUCUAAUUUUUUAUAGUUGUAAAGUGUCAAGUCAUGAUAUCUAAUUUCUAAUUAAUCAUUGUUGCUUCUAAAUUCUUCUAUGAAAGGUUCUGAAGGGCAAUGUAAGUUAUAAAAGGUAACAUCUCGUGCAUAUGAAAUUUAAUCAGAAUUUCUUUUAUUUUUUGCACUAGGUUGAAAAGGAGGAGGUGGUGGCUGCAUUGGAGAAGCUACGACUUGUGACUCAACGAAUGAGACUUACGGCAAAAGAAAUGGAAGAGGUUACUUUAAAGAGGUGUUGGCUGGCUCGAUAUUGGGGUUUAUGCAUUCACCAUGGUAUUCUCGGUGAUAUUGCUGAAGCAAAAUAUAACUAUUGGUCUACCUUCGCGACUAAUCCUUUUAAAGUUGUAUUAACUAGUCUACAUAGUUAUAGGCUUGUAGAUUUUUUGUUGUUAGAUUUGUAAUAUAGUUAGUUAAUUACUUUUCAAGAGAAAUUUGUGUAUCAAUAUUUUGAGUUUAAUAAAAUAUCUCAUUUUG